rnacentral:rRNA from 1 species
CCUACGGGAGGCAGCAGUGGGGAAUAUUGGGCAAUGGGCGCAAGCCUGACCCAGCAACGCCGCGUGAAGGAAGAAGGCUCUCGGGUUGUAAACUUCCUUUUUUAGGGACGUAGCAAGAGACGGUACCUGCGGAAUAAGACUCGGCUAACUACGUGCCAGCAGCCGCGGUAAUACGUAGGCGGCAAGCGUUAUCCGGAUUUACUGGGUGUAAAGGGCGUGUAGGCGGGGACGCAAGUCAGAUGUGAAAACCAUGGGCUCAACCUGUGGCCUGCAUUUGAAACUGUGUUUCUUGAGUACUGGAGAGGCAGACGGAAUUCCUGGUGUAGCGGUGAAAUGCGUAGAUAUUAGGAGGAACACCGAUGGCGAAGGCAGUCUGCUAAACAGCAACUGACGCUGAGGCGCGAAAGCGUGGGGAGCAAACAGGAUUAGAUACCCUAGUAGUC